CUGUUGUGUGUUUUUUAUAGGGCAGGGCAGCUGUAACCAACACCUCCAAUCUCAUCUCAUUGAUUGGACUCCAGUUGGCUGACAUCUCACUCCAAUUAGCUCUUGGAGAUGUCAUUAGUCUAGGGGUUCACAUACUUUUUCCACCUGCACUGUGAAUGUUUACAUGGUGUGUUCAAUGAAGACAUGGCAACAUUUCAUUCUUUGUGUGUUAUUAGUUUAAGCAGACUGUGAUUGUCUAUUGUUGUGACUUAGAUGAUGA